ACAUUACUAAAACUCAGUUCUUGACCGCUUUUCCCGAUCUGUGCUGCGAUUUCCGAGAGAACGCCGCCACCUACGGCCGUCAUUUUUGGCCACCUCCCUCAGUGCCAGCCUCUGCCGCAUGUGUGCCGAGGAUUUUUCCCCUCGAUGAAAUAUGACCGAGAUAUUAAUGUUUUUACAUCAUUCUCCAUUCUCUCUGCUACCCCCGCUGGCGGCAGGAAAGGAAGGGGCUAUAAAACCCGGAAACGUCCCGCUUCAGCUCACUUUCUUCCCGGCCACGAAGUGAAAGGGUCACGGCUCUCUGAGCUGCAGCUCUGCUCCCAGGAAAUAGUCAUCAAGAGGCAGUGAGCAGCAGAACACAACAAGACGCAACAAGACACAACAAGUAAAAACUUAAUAAAUCUCAUCUUUAAAA